UACAGAGGGUGCAAGCGUUAAUCGGAAUUACUGGGCGUAAAGCGUGCGUAGACGGUUAUGUAAGUCGGGUGUGAAAGCCCCGGGCUCAAACCUGGGAAUGCCCAUUCGAGACUGCAUAGCUAGGGUAGCGGAAGAGGGAAGCGGAAUUUCAGGUUGUAGCGGUGAAAUGCGUAGAUAUCUGAAGGAACACCAGUGGCGAAAGCGGCUUCCCUGGUCCAGCACCGACGUUCAGGCACGAAAGCGUGGGGAGCAAACAGG
rnacentral:rRNA from 1 species